rnacentral:rRNA from 1 species
AACGAACGCUGGCGGCAUGCCUAACACAUGCAAGUCGAACGAGACCUUCGGGUCUAGUGGCGCACGGGUGCGUAACGCGUGGGAACCUGCCCUUAGGUUCGGAAUAACUCCCCGAAAGGGGUGCUAAUACCGGAUAAUGUCUUCGGACCAAAGAUUUAUCGCCUUUGGAUGGGCCCGCGUUGGAUUAGCUAGUUGGGAAGGUAAAAGCCUACCAAGGCGACGAUCCAUAGCUGGUCUGAGAGGAUGAUCAGCCACACUGGGACUGAGACACGGCCCAGACGCCGGCGGGAGGCAGCAGUAGGGAAUCUGCCGCCAUGGGCGAAAGCCUGACGGAGCAAAGCCGCGUGAGUGAUGAAGGUCUUCGGACCGGAAAACUCUGUUACUAGGGAAGAACAAAUGGGGAAGUAACUAUGCACGUCUUGACGGUACCUAAUCAGAAAGCCACGGCUAACUACGUG